UUAGAAAAUCUAAUAUAAAAAUAGAACAGUGUUUGGCUUGCUUGUUUGGGAUACCAUAGUAUUUUGUUGUUGCAAAAUCGUCAGGCAAAAUCCCAUUAUUGUUGUUUUUAUAAAAACAACGUUUACAAGAAACAAGGGAACUGAUGAGGAUUGGUGGCUCUUUCCGAAACCUAGGUAUUCCCUGCCUUACCCCCUGGUAAACAUUACCAUCGUUCUCCACUCAUAAACAAACGUUGUUUUUUUAAAAACAACAAUAAUGGGAUUUUGCCUGACGAUUUUGCAACAACAAA